rnacentral:lncRNA from 1 species
CCCAUCCGAUCUCUAAAUAAUCGAGGCUUCGACCUUGCUCAUCUUAGGAUGAGGUUCUCCUCCUAUUUCUAACAGGGCUGUGGGGGCGCAUAAGGGUCGUUGUAAGGGCCUCUCCCCCAUCUGAUCUCUAAAUAAUCAGACCUUCGACUUUGCUCAUGUUAGGAUGAGGUUCUCCUCCUAUUCCUAACAUGACUGUGGGGGUGCAUAAGGGCCGUUGCAAGGGCCUCUCCCCCCAUCCGAUCUCUAAAUAAUCGGACCUUCGACUUUGCUUAUGUUAGGACGAGGUUCUCCUCCUGUUCCUAACAUGACUGUGGAGGCGCAUAAGGGCCGUUGCAAGGG